UAUAUAUAUAAAAAUAAUUCUAGUAAAUUUAUAUUUAUAUAUAUAGUCAUUUUCUUGCCACGAGAACAUUACAUUCGUAUUUUUAAGUUAAACACGAUAAUUUAAUUAUUGUGUUUUAAUCACCGUAUUCAUAUCCAUAUUCGAAUUUCUCUUUUUUAAAUUAUGAGCAAUAAAAAAUAUAAAAAAAUACAGUGAUCCAAUCAUUAUAUUUAAACAUAGUAAUUGAAUCACUAUGUUGAACUUAAAAACGCCACCUAGGCAUUUGCGUAGCAAGGAAAAGUUUAUUUAUGCAAAUAUAAAUUUGUUAGGAUUAUUUGUAAAAGAAAAGUUUUGAAGAGGCUAAAUACAAAAAAAAAAAAC
rnacentral:lncRNA from 1 species